GAUGAACGCUGGCGGCGUGCUUAACACAUGCAAGUCGAGCGAAGCACUUUUACGGACUUCUUCGGAUUGAAGUGAUUGUGACUGAGCAGCGGACGGUUGAGUAACGCGUGGGGAACCUGGCCCAUACAGGGGGAAAACAGUUAGACAUGCCUGCCAAUACCGCAUAAGCGCACAGAACCGCAUGCUUCGGUCUGAAAAACUACGGUGGUAUGGGAUGGCGCCGCGUCGGAUUAGGUAGGUGGUGAGGUAACGGCCUACCAAGCCGACGAUCAGGAGCCGACCUGAGAGGGUGACCGGCCACAUUGGGACUGAGACACGGCCCAAACUCCUACGGGAGGCAGCAGUGUGGAAUAUUGCACAAUGGGGGAAACCCUGAUGCAGCGACGCCGCGUGAAGGAAGAAGUAUUUCGGUAUGUAAACUUCUAUCAGCAGGGAAGAAAAUGACGGUACCUGACUAAGAAGCCCCGGCUAACUACGUGCCAGCAGCCGCAGUAAAAC
rnacentral:rRNA from 1 species